GACGAACGCGGCGGCGUGCCUAAUACAUGCAAGUAGAACGCACAGGAUGCACCGUAGUUUACUACACCGUAUUCUUUGAGUUGCGAACGGGUGAGUAACGCGUAGGUAACCUGCCUGGUAGCGGGGGAUAACUAUUGGAAACGAUAGCUAAUACCGCAUAAGAACAUUUACUGCAUGGUAGAUGUUUAAAAGGUGCAAAUGCAUCACUACCAGAUGGACCUGCGUUGUAUUAGCUAGUAGGUGAGGUAACGGCUCACCUAGGCGACGAUACAUAGCCGACCUGAGAGGGUGAUCGGCCACACUGGGACUGAGACACGGCCCAGACUCCUACGGGAGGCAGCAGUAGGGAAUCUUCGGCAAUGGGGGGGAAACCCCUGACCGAGCAAACGCCCGCGUGAGUGAAAGAAAGGUUUUUCGGGAUUCGUAAAAGGCUUCUGGUGGUAAAGGAAG
rnacentral:rRNA from 1 species